UCGUAUGAUGACUUUCCCGAUAGGGACAUCUGAUGCAAAUUGCAUAUGAUGUUAUCAGGACAAGAUAUUUUAGUAGAUGCUUCUUGACUAUCUGAAA
rfam:Penicillium freii strain DAOM 242723 scaffold_58, whole genome shotgun sequence.